rnacentral:rRNA from 1 species
UACGAAGGGGGCUAGCGUUGUUCGGAAUUACUGGGCGUAAAGCGCGCGCAGGCGGUUCUUUAAGUCAGGGGUGAAAGCCCAGAGCUCAACUCUGGAAUUGCCUUUGAAACUAGAGAACUUGGGUACGGGAGAGGUGAGUGGAAUUCCGAGUGUAGAGGUGAAAUUCGUAGAUAUUCGGAAGAACACCGGUGGCGAAGGCGGCCAUCUGGACCGAGACUGACGCUGAGGCGCG